rnacentral:lncRNA from 1 species
UAUAGUAGUUGGUCCAGGUCAGAUCAGUGUGUUAUAUAGUAGUUGGUCAAGGUCAGAUCAGUGUGUUAUAUAGUAGUUGGUCCAGGUCAGAUCAGUGUGUUAUAUAGUAGUUGGUCCAGGUCAGGUCAGUCUGUUAUAUAGUAGUUGGUUCAGGUCAGAUCAGUGUGUUAUAUAGUAGUUGGUCCAGAUCAGUGUGUUAUAUAGUAGUUGGUCCAGGUCAGAUCAGUGUGUUAUAUAGUAGUUGGUCCAGGUCAGUGUGUUAUAUAGUAGUUGGUCCAGGUCAGAUCAGUGUGUUAUAUAGUAGUUGGUCCAGGUCAGAUCAGUGUGUUAUAUAGUAGUUGGUCCAUGUCAG